CAAAUCUUGCAGAAAGCUAUUCAGCAACACGGGCGAGGCUAGGUAAUGGACACCCUGACAGAAAUUCAGGAACGUCAUGGGGCUGUUAGAGACGUCGAGAGUAAGCUUCUUGAGUUGCAACAGAUUUUCAUGGACAUAGCAGUGUUGGUGGAGUCACAAGGUGACAUGCUGGACAAUAUAGAAUCACA